UACGUAGGGGUGCAAGCGUUAAUUCGGAAUUAGCUAGGGCGUGAACGUGCGCAGGCGGCUUUGCAGGACAGAUAGUGAAAGUCCCCGGGCCAUCCACCUGGGAAUUUGGACGUUGGAGACUGCAAGGCUGGAGUGCUGGCAGAGGGGGGUAGAAUUCCACGUGUGAGCAGUGAAAUGCGUAGAGAUGUGGAGGAACACCGAUGGCGAAGGCAGCCCCUGGGUCAAGACUGAACGCUCAUGGACACGAAAGGCGUGGGGAAGCAAACGAGGAUUAGACG
rnacentral:rRNA from 1 species